UUCUGAUGCGCUAGUUUGUUUACCUGCUGCACACGUCACGCCCUUAAUUGGCAUAAGCCACACCUGCCUACCUGUUGAGGACCAAGUGGAACUGCGCCCAAAUUUUGUGCUGCAACAACUUGUGGAGAAAAACUGGAGCUGGCCUUGGGGGAGGACUCCUUCAGACUUGUAGUGGACGACUUUUAAAGUUUCUGUGGAGUUUUAAUAGACUGGUGAGACGGAUGGCCUAAGUGGAGAACUUCUACAACACAUUGACUCCAUGAAGGACGGACUUGUGGAUGGAGUUUUUCAAGCAGACCUCAAUAAUUCUAUUGCAUCAUGACAAAUUCUCAAACCUUGGACGUUGAUCAUCGCUUCUGUUUUACGUCCAUCUACCUCAAAGCGGUAUUUCCCAGAGUGCUCUU